rnacentral:rRNA from 1 species
UGGGGAAUUUUGGACAAUGGGCGCAAGCCUGAUCCAGCAAUGCCGCGUGCAGGAUGUAGGCCUUCGGGUUGUAAACUGCUUUUGUACGGAACGAAAAGCUUCUGGUUAAUACCUGGGAGUCAUGACGGUACCGUAAGAAUAAGCACCGGCUAACUACGUGCCAGCAGCCGCGGUAAUACGUAGGGUGCGAGCGUUAAUCGGAAUUACUGGGCGUAAAGCGUGCGCAGGCGGUUAUGUAAGACAGAGGUGAAAUCCCCGGGCUCAACCUGGGAACUGCCUUGGUAACUGCAUGGCUAGAGUGCGGCAGAGGGAGGUGGAAUUCCGCGUGUAGCAGUGAAAUGCGUAGAUAUGCGGAGGAACACCGAUGGCGAAGGCAAUCCCCUGGGCCUGCACUGACGCUCAUGCACGAAAGCGUGGGGAGCAAACA